GAUGAACGCUGGCGGCGUGCUUAACACAUGCAAGUCGAACGAUGAAGCCCAGCUUGCUGGGUGGUUUCGUUGCGAACGGGUGAGUAACAAGUGAGUAACUUGCCCUUCACUCUGGCUUAAGUCUGGGAAACUGGGUCUAAUACCGGAUAGGAGCGUUCACCGCCCGCUGGGUGUUGGAAUGAUUUAUCGGUUUUAGAUGGACUCGAGGCCUAUCCGCUUGUUGGUGAGGUAUUGGCUCAGUAAGGCGUUGCCGGGUAGCCGGCCUGAGAGGGUGACCGGCCACACUAGGACUGAGACACGGCGCAGACGGCUACGGGACGCAGCAGUGGGGAAUAUUGCGCAAUGGGCGCAAGCCAGAUGCAGCGACGCCGCGUGAGUGAUGACGGCCUACUAGGUGUAAACCUCUGUCAAUAGGGAAGAGCCGAAAGUGACGGUACCUGCAGAGAAAGCAACGGCUAACUACGUG
rnacentral:rRNA from 1 species